rnacentral:rRNA from 1 species
CCUACGGGUGGCAGCAGUGAGGAAUAUUGGUCAAUGGGCGCGAGCCUGAACCAGCCAAGUAGCGUGAAGGAUGACUGCCCUACGGGUUGUAAACUUCUUUUAUAAAGAAAUAAAGUGAGGCACGUGUGCCUUUUUGUAUGUACUUUAUGAAUAAGGAUCGGCUAACUCCGUUCCAGCAGCCUCGGUAAUACGGAGGAUCCGAGCGUUAUCCGGAUUUAUUGGGUUUAAAGGGAGCGUAGAUGGGUUGUUAAGUCAGUUGUGAAAGUUUGAGGCUCAACCGUAAAAUUGCAAUUGAUACUGGCAGCCUUGAGUACAGUUGAGGUAGGCGGAAUUCGUGGUGUAGCGGUGAAAUGCGUAGAUAUCACGAAGAACUCCGAUUGCGAAGGCAGCUUACUAAACUGCCACUGACAUUGAUGCGCGAAAGUGUGGGUAUCAAACAGGAUUAGAUACCCCAGUAGUC